rnacentral:lncRNA from 1 species
UCACCCAGCAGAACUUGGUUACUUUGACUCAUCAUUAAGUGGUCCCUUUUAUUUCAUUUUUAUCACUUAACCAUGGCUAUUCUAGGCUUUUUUCUGUAAUUAAAGCUAGAGUACAGUAGGCAUGCAGACCCUAAAAUUAGUGUCUUAACCUAAUGCUUAUUUUGUCCCUGAACAGUUACUAUGCCAGUCAGAAGAAAACGUUUGAAAUUAAUCCUAGACACCCACUGAUCAGGGACAUGCUGCGGAGGGUUAAGGAAGAUGAAGAUGACAAGACUGUCAUGGAUCUUGCUGUAGUUUUGUUUGAAACGGCAACUCUUCGGUCAGGAUACCUUCUACCCGACACCAAGGCAUAUGGAGACAGGAUAGAAAGGAUGCUCCGCCUCAGCUUAAACAUUGACCCUGAAGCACAGGUGUGUGCCUUAGCCCUUCCAUGGCUGACCCGACCCCUACGGUGACACCACCUGUGAAAUUAGUGUGAAAUCUCCUGUGCCUUCUUUCUCUCCCACCCCCUACCCCCAAGACAGGGUCCCCUUUAUGUAGCCCUGGCUGUCCUGGAACCACUGUGUAGAUCAGGCGGGCCUCUACCUCAGAGUGCUGGGAUUAAGGCUAGUGCCGCCACCACUCAGUGUGGCUCCUUCCUUUCGCAUCUCUUGAUGCCUUCCCUGUUAAGGCAGGUCAGACUUACUGCAGUCCUUGGUAAAACAC